GCGGCCCAUAUUAUGACAUCUGCAAAAGCUGUGCUUCCUGUCAUAUUAUGGCAUCUGCAAAAGCUGUGCUUCCUGUCAUUGCCAAAUGCAAGCUGCUGGAGUCAUCUCAUGUUACUAACGCUGGUACUAACCAGGACUUGCCCUUGAUGAUUGGGAGGAACAAAUGUCCAUGAUGAGAGCCACCGAACUCUUAAUUUUAGCGCCAACGAAGGUAAACAAACACAGAGUAAGACGACCCGUAAUGCAUCAGUUCAGGAGUGAAGAUUUGCCGACCAAGCACUGAGAAACC